GAUGAACGCUGGCGGCGUGCCUAAUACAUGCAAGUCGAGCGAACAGAUGAGGAGCUUGCUCCUCUGACGUUAGCGGCGGACGGGUGAGUAACACGUGGAUAACCUACCUAUAAGACUGGGAUAACUUCGGGAAACCGGAGCUAAUACCGGAUAAUAUAUUGAACCGCAUGGUUCAAUAGUGAAAGACGGUUUUGCUGUCACUUAUAGAUGGAUCCGCGCCGCAUUAGCUAGUUGGUAAGGUAACGGCUUACCAAGGCAACGAUGCGUAGCCGACCUGAGAGGGUGGUCCGCCCCCAUUGAAACUGAGACACGUUCCGGACCCCAAGGGGGGGCAGCGGUGGGAAUCUUUCCGAAUGGGGGGAAGGCUGGCGGAGGAAAGGCCGGGUGGUUAAGAAGGGUCUCCGAUCCGUAAACUCUGUUAUUAGGGAAGAACAAAUGUGUAAGUAACUAUGCACGUCUUGACGGUACCUAAUCAGAAAGCCACGGCUAACUACGUG
rnacentral:rRNA from 1 species